rnacentral:rRNA from 1 species
GAAAAGGAGCUAUCGAAUAAAUAGCUCUGCUGACGGUACUCUAAGAAUAAGCACCGGCUAACUACGUGCCAGCAGCCGCGGUAAUACGUAGGGUGCGAGCGUUAAUCGGAAUUACUGGGCGUAAAGGGUGUGCAGGCGGCUGAGUAAGACAGAUGUGAAAUCCCCGGGCUUAACCUGGGAACCGCAUAUGUGACUGCUUGGCUAGAGUGCGUCAGAGGGAGGUGGAAUUCCACGUGUAGCAGUGAAAUGCGUAGAUAUGUGGAAGAACACCGAUGGCGAAGGCAGCCUCCUGGGACGCAACUGACGCUCAUACACGAAAGCGUGGGGAGCAAACAGGAUUAGAUACCCUGGUAGUCCACGCCCUAAACGAUGUCAACUAGUUGUUGGGGAUUAA